UACGGAGGGUGCAAGCGUUAUCCGGAUUCACUGGGUUUAAAGGGUGCGUAGGCGGGUAUGUAAGUCAGUGGUGAAAUCCCGGAGCUUAACUCUGGAACUGCCAUUGAUACUAUAUAUCUUGAAUAUUGUGGAGGUUUGCGGAAUAUGUCAUGUAGCGGUGAAAUGCAUAGAUAUGACAUAGAACACCUAUUGCGAAGGCAGCAGGCUACACAUAUAUUGACGCUGAGGCACGAAAGCGUGGGGAUCAAACAGG
rnacentral:rRNA from 1 species